UGGGGAAUUUUGGACAAUGGGCGAAAGCCUGAUCCAGCAAUGCCGCGUGUGUGAAGAAGGCCUUCGGGUUGUAAAGCACUUUUGUCCGGAAAGAAAUCCUUGGCUCUAAUACAGUCGGGGGAUGACGGUACCGGAAGAAUAAGCACCGGCUAACUACGUGCCAGCAGCCGCGGUAAUACGUAGGGUGCAAGCGUUAAUCGGAAUUACUGGGCGUAAAGCGUGCGCAGGCGGUUUGCUAAGACCGAUGUGAAAUCCCCGGGCUCAACCUGGGAACUGCAUUGGUGACUGGCAGGCUAGAGUAUGGCAGAGGGGGGUAGAAUUCCACGUGUAGCAGUGAAAUGCGUAGAGAUGUGGAGGAAUACCGAUGGCGAAGGCAGCCCCCUGGGCCAAUACUGACGCUCAUGCACGAAAGCGUGGGGAGCAAAACAGGAUUAGAUACCCUGGUAGUCCACGCCCUAAAACGAUGUCAACUAGUUGUUGGGGAUUCAUUUCCUUAGUAACGUAGCUAACGCGUGAAGUUGACCGCCUGGGGAGUACGGUCGCAAGAUUAAAAACUCAAAGGAAUUGACGGGGUCAUAGCUGUUUCCU
rnacentral:rRNA from 1 species